rnacentral:rRNA from 1 species
GACGUAGGGCGCGAGCGUUGUCCGGAAUUAUUGGGCGUAAAGAGCUCGUAGGCGGUCUGUCGUGUCUGCUGUGAAAACUCAGGGCUUAACCCUGAGCUUGCAGUGGGUACGGGCAGACUAGAGGUACGGAAGAGGCGAGUGGAAUUCCUGGUGAUAGCGGUGAAAUGACGUAGAGUAUCAGGAGGAACACCGGCGGUGUAGACGGCUUUCUGGACCGUAGCUGACGCUGGAGACACGGAAAGCGUGGGUAGCAAACAGG